GCUAGGGUAGUCUAGCGAUGAGACAGUCGCCCGGUAAGCGGAAGACCCGGGUUCGAAUCCCGGCCUAGACU
rnacentral:tRNA from 1 species